rnacentral:lncRNA from 1 species
CUCUGUUUAGAUGACAUGAUAAUAUACAGAGAAAUUCCCAAAGACACCUCUAGAAUACCACAGCUCUUCAAUGAAUUCAGUAGAAUUGCAGAAUACAAAAUCAAUGCACAGAAAUCUGCCAUACUUCUAUACCUUAAUAAUUAACCUAGCAGAAAGGGAAUUAAGGAAACAAUCCCACUUACCAGCGCAUCAAAAGGAAUAACAUACCUGCAAAUAAACCGAGCAGCUUUUCUACUUUCGAACCACUCUUGAUGAAACAAACACUUUCAACACCAUGAAAAUGCAGCUCAUCAAGCAAUGACCUCCUGGGAAUUCCAAGGCGCUCAGGAUGUCCUGAGACGUAUGUGUGGUAUUUAAAUCGGCUGCUUUGCUGUCCCAAUAAAUUACAACAUAAUUUUUUUGCCUUCUCAUUUUGGUCCCAGAGCUUCACGUGGAAAGGCUGAUUCAGAGGCAGGCAGUGGACAGUGAAAUCUAGUUGGAAUAGUUUACCAGUCUUAGAGAAAAAAGGCUUUGGCUCAGCUGAUGAGCCUGGAGAGGGCUUGGGCACACAUGGUCACUUGCUGAAUGUUAGAAGGUUCGUUGCACAGUCAUUUCAGCAAGAGGGGAAAAGGAUGGUCUCUUCUUUGUUUUUAUUCUAUCGGGGGAUUGAAUCAUACACGUUUAUGACCCGUGAGGUGCAAUCAUUUUUAGCAGGCAUUUUGAAGUUUCGAGAAAAUAAUUUUAACCGUGAUUUUCAAAGUCCGGAUUUCUCACGUUGUUUACUUCUGUUUCUUAUCUCUUCUAGAAGUCGGCCUGAACUAUACACAGAACACACAGAUGGAAGAUUUGAAUCAGCUGUGAAAAAGAUGAUCAGUCCUAAUCAGAAAGUAAAAAUUUAUCCCAUCACUUUUUAUGGAUCCUCUUUUGAGAUAGAACUUGAAAACUUUCUGUGGACAGCUUAAAAGCAUUGUUAAAGAAAACUCUUUUGGAAGAAAAAAUGCAGAAUCAAAGUGUACAGGAGUUCCCUUGUGGCUCAGCAGGUUAAGGAUCUGGCAUUGUCAUUCCUGUGGCUCUGGCUAUUGCAGUGGUAAGUGUUUGAUCCCUGGCCUGGAACUUUUGCAUGCUAUGGGCACAGCCCAAAAAAAUUAAAAAACAAGCGUACACCUCAGUGAACACUCUUGCAGCCCCCCCUGAUGUUAAGAAAAAGAUCCACCUGAAGCUCAGUCAGGAACCAGCUUCUCCUGCUUCCGCUUCCCUAGGGGAUAACGAACCUCUAUUCUGACUUGGAAGGCAGUCCUCCCCCUUCCUUACAGUGGUUUCUGCAGACUUUUACCUCUGACCUCUAGAUCUGAGGUCUGCCUGUUUGGGGGGCCUUUAUGUAAGCGGCAUGACACAGCA